rnacentral:tRNA from 1 species
AUUUGUAUAGUUUAAUCUCAAAACAUUACAUUUUCACUGUAAAAUUAGACUUCUCUUACAAAUU